GAUGAACGCUAGCGGCAGGCCUAACACAUGCAAGUCGAGGGGCAGCACAUAAAGUGGUUUACUACUUUUGGUGGCGACCGGCGGACGGGUGCGUAACGCGUAUGCAACCUGCCUCCAACAGGGGGAUAACGGAGAGAAAUUUCCACUAAUACCCCAUAAUAUCAGAAUCGGCAUCGGUUUUGGUUGAAAACUCCGGUGGUUGGAGAUUGGCAUGCGUUGGAUUAGAAAGUUGGUGAGGUAACGGCUCACCAAGUCAACGAUACAUAGGGGGACUGAGAGGUUAGCCCCCCACACUGGUACUGAGACCCGGACCAGACUCCUACGGGAGGCGGCAGUGAGGAAUAUUGGUCAAUGGGGGCAACCCUGAACCAGCCAUGCCGCGUGCAGGAAGACGGCUCUAUGAGUUGUAAACUGCUUUUACAAGGGGAUAAAUCGGUGUACGUGUACACCGUUGAAGGUACCUUGGGAAUAAGGAUCGGCUAACUCCGUGCCAGCAGCCGCCGUAA
rnacentral:rRNA from 1 species